rnacentral:rRNA from 1 species
UAAUACGGAGGGUGCAAGCGUUAUCCGGAUUCACUGGGUUUAAAGGGUGCGUAGGUGGAUUGCCAAGUCCGUGGUGAAAUCUCCGAGCUUAACUCGGAAACUGCCGUGGAUACUGGUAGUCUUGAAUAUCGUGGAGGUCAGCGGAAUAUGUCAUGUAGCGGUGAAAUGCUUAGAUAUGACAUGGAACACCAAUUGCGAAGGCAGCUGACUACGCGUAUAUUGACACUCAGGCACGAAAGCGUGGGGAUCAAACAGG